rnacentral:rRNA from 1 species
AAUACACUGGUGGCGACCGGCGCACGGGUGAGUAACACGUGUGCAACCAACCCCGUACCGGGAGAUAACCCGCGGAAACGUGGACUAACAUCCCAUAAGACUCUAGAGCCGCAUGGCUCUGGAUUUAAAAUUCCGGUGGUACGGGACGGGCACGCGCGACAUUAGGUAGUUGGCGGGGUAACGGCCCACCAAGCCGACGAUGUCUAGGGGUUCUGAGAGGAAGGUCCCCCACACUGGAACUGAGACACGGUCCAG